rnacentral:rRNA from 1 species
CGGCCGGGGAUUAGUGGCGAACGGGUGAGUAACACGUGGGCAAUCUGCCCUGCACUCUGGGACAAGCCCUGGAAACGGGGUCUAAUACCGGAUAUGACCACCGGCCGCAUGGUCUGGUGGUGGAAAGCUCCGGCGGUGCAGGAUGAGCCCGCGGCCUAUCAGCUUGUUGGUGGGGUGAUGGCCUACCAAGGCGACGACGGGUAGCCGGCCUGAGAGGGCGACCGGCCACACUGGGACUGAGACACGGCCCAGACUCCUACGGGAGGCAGCAGUGGGGAAUAUUGCACAAUGGGCGCAAGCCUGAUGCAGCGACGCCGCGUGAGGGAUGACGGCCUUCGGGUUGUAAACCUCUUUCAGCAGGGAAGAAGCGCGAGUGACGGUACCUGCAGAAGAAGCACCGGCUAACUACGUGCCAGCAGCCGCGGUAAUACGUAGGGUGCGAGCGUUGUCCGGAAUUAUUGGGCGUAAAGAGCUCGUAGGCGGCCUGUCGCGUCGGAUGUGAAAGCCCGGGGCUUAACCCCGGGUCUGCAUUCGAUACGGGCAGGCUAGAGUUCGGCAGGGGAGAUUGGAAUUCCUGGUGUAGCGGUGAAAUGCGCAGAUAUCAGGAGGAACACCGGUGGCGAAGGCGGAUCUCUGGGCCGAUACUGACGCUGAGGAGCGAAAGCGUGGGGAGCGAACAGGAUUAGAUACCCUGGUAGUCCACGCCGUAAACGUUGGGCACUAGGUGUGGGCGGCAUUCCACGUCGUCCGUGCCGCAGCUAACGCAUUAA